CUCCCCCCCCUCUCCUCUCCCUCGUGGGCCAGGAAAAGAGAGAAGGAGAUUAAGACAAGAGAGUCCACAGCUGCCCCCCGAGACCUUCCAAUCUCUCUCUUCUCACACGAAUCACCGCCGUUAAGAAAUCCUAUCUUUUCUAUGAUGGACAGCUCCGGAGGCGCCAUCGCGGCGCCGGUGGCGGAUGGGAAUCUGGAGGCGGCGGAGCGGGAGAUCAGGCGGUGGGACUCGGCCUCCACGACGGCUCCGAUCUUUGACGGCGGGGACCGCUCCGAUGCCGAGCGCUUCCUCCGCGCCGUCGACGAGAUCUGCCGCUCCAUCAAGGAUCCGAUCGCCGUCGGCAGCCCCCGCCGGUCGUCUUCGUCGUCGUCGUCGGCGGCAACGGACGCGAUCCAGAUCGCGAUGGCACGGCUGGAGGACGAGUUCCAGAAUAUACUGGUUUCGAGAGUCAACGAGUUCGAGAUCGAGUCGCUCGUCGAUCUGAGCUCGUUGUCCAUGUCGAGCUCGAUGUCUGGGGAGGAGGUUCCGGCCGGCGAUAUCUCCGACGCUGAAGGCUCUGAUGAGGGGAGCCUCCUGGCGUCGGGAUCGGUGGGGAGCAGUCUGGGUCACAGGAGGAAGAGCAGCAGCUACCGGUCGACAAGAAGCAUCCGGGAAAUCGAUCUUGUGCCGGAGGACGCAAUCGCGGAUCUGCGGAGCAUAGCGGAGCGGAUGAUCGCCGCCGGCUACGGCCGGGAGUGCGUCCAGGUGUACGGAUCCGCCCGAAAGGCGGCGGUGGACCUGUGUUUCCGGCAGCUGGGCGUGGAGAAGCUCAGCAUAGGUGACGUCCAGCGCCUCGAGUGGGACGCACUCGAGGCCAAGAUCCGGCGGUGGAUCCGCGCUGCCCGGGCUUGCAUCCGGAUCGUCUUCGCCAGCGAGCGCCGCCUCUGCGACCGCGUCUUCGACGGCCUUGGUGGCGUCCCCGGCGGCGACGACGCCCCCUUCACCGAGACUGUCAAGGGCGCGGCGAUUCAGCUCUUCGGCUUUGCCGACGCCAUCAGCAUCAGCCGCCGAUCUCCUGAGAAGCUCUUCAAGAUUCUCGACCUCCACGACACCAUCUCUGACCUCCUACCCGACAUCGCCGCGGUGUUCUGCUCCAAGUCCUGCGAGUCCAUCUACACCCAGGCCGCCGAGAUCCUCUCUCGUCUCGCCGAGGCCAUCCGGGGGAUCCUCUCCGAGUUGGAGAACGCCGUCCUCCGGGAUCCCUCCAAGAUUCCGGUCCCCGGCGGCACCAUUCACCCGCUGACUCGCUAUGUGAUGAACUACAUCAGCCUCAUCUCCGAUUACAAGCAAACUCUUGUCGAGCUCAUCGUCACGAGGCCCUCGGCGAGCUCGCGGUUCUCUGGCGACGAUUCGGGCGCUGGUGGCCCGGAGGUCGACUUCCCGGAGCCGGAGAAUCAGUCACCACUGGCCUCCCACUUGACCUGGAUCAUUGUUAUACUUCAGCACAAUCUUGAGAACAAGGCCAAUCUCUACAAAGACAGUGCUCUCUCCCAUCUCUUUCUGAUGAACAACGUGCACUAUAUUGUCCAUAAGGUGAAGGGCUCGCCGGAGCUCCGGGAGCUGAUCGGUGAUAACUACUUGAGGAAGAUGACGGCGAAGUUCCGGCAGUCGGCGACUAGCUAUCAGAGGGCGACGUGGGUGAGGAUCCUGUACUGCCUGAGAGAUGAGGGGAUUCAUGUGAGUGGGAGCUUCUCUUCCGGGGUUUCGAAAUCAACGCUGAGGGAGAGGUUCAGGGCUUUCAAUGCAGCGUUUGAUGAGGUCCACAGGACUCAGGCAACAUGGCUCGUGCCGGACACCCAGCUAAGAGAGGAGCUGAGGAUUUCGAUAUCGGAGAGGCUGUUGCCGGCCUACCGGUCCUUCCUUGGCCGGUUCCGGCAUCACAUAGAGAACGACAGGCACCCUGAGAUGUAUAUCAAGUAUUCAGUCGAGGAUUUAGAGGCGGCCUUGUCUGAUUUCUUCGAAGGAUGCCCACCUGCUCCACUCAGCAGGAGAAGGGCACAUUGAAGAAGGUGAUGCUUUAAAGAAUUAUAGACUGACGAGUGUCUUAGCAGAUAUUCUUUAAAUUUUUAGAGGGCAGUUGGCAGGUGCCUGCUAUCAGUCAAGUAGAGCUUCGAAUUUUACAAGCUCUUAUUGCAGCUGAUGGCGAGGUCUGCAAUCCUACAUAAUAUUUCUUUGUGAUCUUGCUGGAGCUGUCAAAUACUCAAGGGCCUGCACCUGUUUAUUUUUCCUCUAGUGAUUGCCAGGGUAAAAUAUGUUUGCUUUUGACAAGCUGCUUCUUGAGAUCAGGUUAGGCAGGAUUUAAUGAUGUGACAGGUUAUGCACCCUCUAAGAUAUCAACUUUGAAGUUAAUCUCCAAAGAAGUUGCUCAAAUCGAACUAUUUCCUUGUGUAUUCUAAACCUAGAUGCAAUCAAUUGCUCAUCCAUGGAUUUAAAAGGUGAAUGCUGGUGUCCAUGCCUGUCAUUUAGCAUGUUGUUGUCCGUGGAAUGUAGUUCCGCUUGGAUCUGAGUAUAAUCAGGAUUCCUGAUUAAAUUCCUCGGCUGCAUAAUGCUGUGUUUCAGAAUUCUGGCCGCUGGGUGCAUAUUUGUGAUAUUAGCGUGAUCCUGUAAACUUGCAUUUAAUUGAAGUCCUUGAAAAGAUUUGUAGUGUUUUUUGCUUGAAUA